UACGGGGGGGGCAAGCGUUGUUCGGAAUUACUGGGCGUAAAGGGCCCGUAGGCGGCCAACUAAGUCGGAUGUGAAAUCCCCAGGCUCAACCUGGGAACUGCAUCCGAUACUGGAUGGCUUGAAUUCGGGGAGGGAUGCAGAAUUCCAGGUGUAGCGGUGAAAUGCGUAGAUAUCUGGAGGAAUACCGGUGGCGAAGGCGGCAUCCUGGACCGACAUUGACGCUGAACGGCGAAAGCUAGGGGAGCAAACGGG
rnacentral:rRNA from 1 species